AAAUGAAUAGACGGGGGCCCGCACAAGCAGUGGAGUAUGUGGUUUAAUUCGAAGCAACGCGAAGAACCUUACCAGGGCUUGACAUCCCUUGAAGUCAGUAGAGAUACUGAUGCUUUUCGGAGCAAGGAGACAGGUGGUGCAUGGUUGUCGUCAGCUCGUGUCGUGAGAUGUUGGGUUAAGUCCCGCAACGAGCGCAACCCUUGUUGUUAGUUGCCAGCGCGUAAAGGCGGGCACUCUAGCGAGACUGCCGGUGACAAAUCGGAGGAAGGUGGGGACGACGUCAAAUCAUCAUGCCCCUUAUGUCCUGGGCUACACACGUACUACAAUGGCCAUAACAGCAGGAAGCGAAGCCGUAAGGCGGAGCCAAUCCCCAAAUAUGGCCCCAGUUCGGAUUGUGGGCUGCAACCCGCCCACAUGAAGUCGGAAUUGCUAGUAAUGGCAGGUCAGCAUACUGCCGUGAAUACGUUCCCGGGCCUUGUACACACCGCCCGU
rnacentral:rRNA from 1 species